UACGUAGGUCCCGAGUGUUGUCCGGAUUUAUUGGGCGUAAAGCGAGCGCAGGUGGUUUAUUAAGUCUGGUGUAAAAGGCAGUGGCUCAGCCAUUGUAUGCAUUGGAAACUGGUAGACUUGAGUGCAGGAGAGGAGAGUGGAAUUCCAUGUGUAGCGGUGAAAUGCGUAGAUAUAUGGAGGAACACCGGUGGCGAAAGCGGCUCUCUGGCCUGUAACUGACACUGAGGCUCGAAAGCGUGGGGAGCAAACAGG
rnacentral:rRNA from 1 species